rnacentral:lncRNA from 1 species
UUGGAGAAUGAGUGCAAGGUUUUACUGAGUGGAAGUAGCUCUCAGCAGAUUGGGAAGCCAGAAGGGAGAUGGUUUUCCCCUGGAGUUAGGCUGCUUAGCAGCCUGGGCUCUCCUCCAACCACCCCAGCCAAACUCCGUGUCAUUCCACAAGUCGAUGGCCCGCUGGUGUGCUGGCCUCUGUCGUGUGCUCUUAUGCCGGUGUGCUCCCCUUGAUGGCUCCUCGACGUCCAGCCACUUGUGUCUUCUUCCGCUGAUGUGCUCCUCUGGAUGUCCAGCCGCUUGUGUGCCUGCUUGCUAGGGUCUCAGGGUUUUUAUAGGCAAAGGAUGGGGGCGUGGUCGGCCAGGAUGGUCUUAGGAAAUGCAACAUUUGGGUGCGAAGGCAGGAGUGCCUGUCUUCACCUAGGUCCAUGGGCACAGGCCCAGGGGUGGAGACCUCGCCAGGGACCUGCCCUUCUCCUCCCAGCACCUCCCUGCCCGCCUUCCUUAUCACCAACACCAUGAGUCUGGACUGUCAGCCUCCAGAACUGUGAGACAAUAAACUUCUGUUUUCAGCCAAGCAGUUUGUGGUGCAUUGUUACAUCAUCUCUAGGAAACUAAAGCAACAACUUUGAAGCUAGACUCUCUGCCUCCAUCUACCCUCGAAUCCAUUUUCCACACAACCUUCUACCAGGCGAGUUUUCUAUCAUUUUCCAUCACGGGUUCCCCAUUGCAGACAGUUUCCAUAUUUACGUGAUCUUUGCGACCCCACAUGAUGUGGCCCCAGUUCACUCCUCUGACUUAUUGCAUGCUCUAUACCCAUUCAGUCUCGGGUCUUUGCUCCAACCCAACCUAACUGCUUGUAGCUCAUGCCGUAUGUUUCUCGCCCUUCUUUGCUGAUGCUGUUCCUUCUGCAUGGAAUCCUUCAGAUAGUCAGAUCUGAACCUCAGUUGUAUUUGUAAAGUGGUGAUAAUACUCUACCUCAUAGAAUGUUUGGAGAGCCAAAUGAGAUCUUGAAUGUAAAGAUCUUAGCACCAUGCUUACCUUAUAUCAAAGCUCAGUGGCAAAAAAUAGAAACCAGCACAGUGUUUUCAAGCAGAGGAGGUUUUAAAUGCUUUUUAAAUUGUUGAAAGUGCUGAAAGAGCUUGCUCUAGAUGGGCCUUCAGGAAUGACUCCAAGAUCACAGCAGAUCUGACCCACCAGGGGAGCUGCUACUGCUCAUACAUCAGGAAGAUGAGAAUUCAGGAGGCUUCCCCUGGCUGGAACCCCUGACUUCAGCAACAUCUUUGCCUUAACUGAGAUCCAGAGGUCAGGAAGCUACCGCAACUGAACCUUGUGCUAGAGCCACACAAGCUAAACAUGGAUUUCCACCCCUGCUCCUCUUGUUCCCCAUGAAGCUAAUGCCUGGAUGCAGAACCUCUCUUCCCAAAGUCCAACAACUCCAUGACCUUAGUUGCCAGCAGAAGUGACCAGAAGUGCUAUCUACAUCUUCUCUCGAGUCUCAUUCAAAAGCAUGUGAUUCACAGAGUCUAAACCACGUCCACACUCUCCAGCUGCAAAGGAAUCCAGGGAAUAUAGUUUUCAGCUCUCCAGCCUCUAUAGUACAGAAAGACAUUCCAGACGCAGCUUUCAGCUCAUGGAGGCCUUUAAAAGGAGAUUCAUCGGUCAGGUGCAGUGGCUCACGCCUGUAAUCCCAACACUUGGGGAAACCGAUGCGGGCGGAUCACAAGGUCAGGAGAUCGAGGCCAUCCUGGUCAACAUGGUGAAACCCCGUCUCUACUGAAAAUACAAAAAUUAGCUGGGCAUGGUGGCACAUGCCUGUAAUCCCAGCUACUCAGGAGGCUGAGGCAGGAGAAUCGCUUGAACCAGGGAGUCGGAGGUUUCAGAGAGCCAAGAUCACACCACUGCACUCCAGAGUGAGACUCCGUCUCAAAAACAAAACAAAACAAAGGAAACAAACAACAAAAACGGAGAUCCAUCAACCGAUUUUGACUCAAGGUAGAUGAAUACUUGUGACCUAAAAAAAGGAAAAGGAAAAUAUUACAUAACGUCUAACACUUUUUUUUCAU